rnacentral:rRNA from 1 species
AUUGAACGCUGGCGGCAUGCCUUACACAUGCAAGUCGAACGGUAACGGGUUAAGCUGUCGAGUGGCGAACGGGUGAGUAAUAUAUCGGAACGUGCCCAGUCGUGGGGGAUAACGUAGCGAAAGCUACGCUAAUACCGCAUACGAUCUACGGAUGAAAGCGGGGGAUCGCAAGACCUCGCGCGAUUGGAGCGGCCGAUAUCAGAUUAGGUUGUUGGUGAGGUAAAAACUCACCAAGCCUGCGAUCUGUAGCUGGUCUGAGAGGACGACCAGCCACACUGGAACAGAGACACGGUACAGACUCCUACGGGAGGCAGCAGUGGGGAAUUUUGGACAAUGGACGCAAGUCUGAUUCAGCAAUGCCGCGUGCAGGACGAAGGCCUUCGGGUUGUAAACUGCUUUUGUACGGAACGAAACGGUGAGCUCUAAUACAGUUUGCUAAUGACGGUACCGUAAGAAUAAGCACCGGCUAACUACGUGCCAGCCGCCGCGGUAA